rnacentral:rRNA from 1 species
UACGAAGGGGGCUAGCGUUGUUCGGAAUUACUGGGCGUAAAGCGCACGUAGGCGGACUUAUAAGUCAGGGGUGAAAUCCCGGGGCUCAACCUCGGAACUGCCUUUGAUACUGUAAGUCUCGAGACCGGAAGAGGUGAGUGGAAUUCCUAGUGUAGAGGUGAAAUUCGUAGAUAUUAGGAAGAACACCAGUGGCGAAGGCGGCUCACUGGUCCGGUUCUGACGCUGAGGUGCGAAAGCGUGGGGAGCAAACAGG